CACCCUAGUCCUUAAAAUAUCUCUCUUAAGAAUCUCCCCCGUUUUUCUUUUACCUCAGUUACUCUGCUCAAAGUCGGAUGAGGCUCCUUUUUGAAAACAAACCCCUGAUGAAUGUGGGGCUCGGCUUGAGUGAACUCAAACCAAUGCCUCAAACUCAUCCAGAAAAUCGUUUCCAGAACCUUCCAAUUGUGAAAUAUAUCCAAAUUCGAGCGAGUGAGAGGAAAGGGGAAUCUUUUGGUUUCAGAAAUCGUUAGAGAUGGUAAUGAGGAGAGAGGGAGAAUGCGUGAGGUGAGAUUGGAGCUCACUCGCCCGAAUUUUCGCAAUUUUGGGAUUGGAUUCGGGUGAUAUUUUUUUUGGAGAAGAAGAACAGUCGCGUCUGGGUCUUUAGG
rnacentral:lncRNA from 1 species